rnacentral:rRNA from 1 species
UGGGGAAUAUUGCACAAUGGGCGCAAGCCUGAUGCAGCCAUGCCGCGUGUGUGAAGAAGGCCUUCGGGUUGUAAAGUACUUUCAGUCGGGAGGAAGGUGUCAAGGUUAAUAACCUUGGCAAUUGACGUUACCGACAGAAGAAGCACCGGCUAACUCCGUGCCAGCAGCCGCGGUAAUACGGAGGGUGCAAGCGUUAAUCGGAAUUACUGGGCGUAAAGCGCACGCAGGCGGUUGAUUGAGUCAGAUGUGAAAUCCCCGGGCUUAACCCGGGAAUUGCAUCUGAUACUGGUCAGCUAGAGUCUUGUAGAGGGGGGUAGAAUUCCAGGUGUAGCGGUGAAAUGCGUAGAGAUCUGGAGGAAUACCGGUGGCGAAGGCGGCCCCCUGGACAAAGACUGACGCUCAGGUGCGAAAGCGUGGGGAGCAAACAGG